rnacentral:lncRNA from 1 species
UUUAAAAUUUAUCCUUGAAUUUAUUUUAUUGAAUUAUUAUGUCAUGGUCAACAUCCUCACGCUUAUAUUGUGAUGAAAGUCAUCUUUGGCUUACGUGCAUAGAUGGACUUGGUAUGAUUAUGACCAGGAAUUAUUCGGUAUAAUUAUGACCGUAAUGUAACGAAUGAUGUGGUAAAAGUCCUCAUUGGCCUAUAAUUCAUUGAUGGACAGUUGUUGGUAUGAUUAUGACUAGGGAUUAUUCGGUAUAAUCAUGUCCAUUGAUGAUUACAUGAAUAUCCUUGGCCGUGGUGCAGGGAUGAUUCGAUGAUGUGGUUUAUUUAUUAAGUUGAGUCUCAGCGAUAAAGUUGAUGAAAAACUUUUUAAAUCAUAGAAGAUAGUAGAUUUUAUGCUCUACUUGACUCUUCUAAUGGAUUGCUUAUUCGGCUGCAGUUGUUGAUCUAAAACUUGUUGUCUAUUGUAUUCUAUCAGUUGUUAUACUGUUGAAGGCUAAGGAUAAUUUAUUCUGCAUUAUCUUAGUCAUAAUAUUUCUUACUGGGCUAGUUGAGCUCACCCUUUUCUUUCAUUGUUCUCUUCAGGAAAUGAAAAUAUAGCCGGGACUAGUCGGGGAUCGGAGUGACGGUCCAGAUG